rnacentral:rRNA from 1 species
CGAGUGCCCCAAGCGUUAUCCGGAAUCAUUGGGCGUAAAGGGUGUGUAGGUUGUCUUGUUAGUCUCCUGUCAAAUUCUUCGGCUCAACCGGGGGUCCGCAGGGGAAACGGCAAGACUAGAGGAUGUGAGAGGUGAAUGGAACUCGAUGGUGUAGGGGUGAAAUCCGUUGAUAUCAUGGGGAACACCAAAAGCGAAGGCAAUUCACUGGCACAUUCCCUGACACUGAAACACGAAAGCGUGGGUAGCGAAUGGGAUUAGAUACCCCAGUAGUCCACGCCCUAAACGAUCUUCUCUAGCUUUUCGGAGUAUCGACCCUCUGAGAGGCGUAGCUAACGCGUUAAGAGAAGCGCCUGGGUAGUACGGCCGCAAGGCUA